rnacentral:rRNA from 1 species
AUUGAACGCUGGCGGCAGGCUUAACACAUGCAAGUCGAGCGGUAGCACAGGGGAGCUUGCUCCCUGGGUGACGAGCGGCGGACGGGUGAGUAAUGUCUGGGAAACUGCCUGAUGGAGGGGGAUAACUACUGGAAACGGUAGCUAAUACCGCAUAACGUCGCAAGACCAAAGAGGGGGACCUUCGGGCCUCUUGCCAUCAGAUGUGCCCAGAUGGGAUUAGCUAGUAGGCGGGGUAAUGGCUCACCUAGGCGACGAUCCCUAGCUGGUCUGAGAGGAUGACCAGCCACACUGGAACUGAGACACGGUCCAGACUCCUACGGGAGGCAGCAGUGGGGAAUAUUGCACAAAGGGCGCAAGCCUGAUGCAGCCAUGCCGCGUGUGUGAAGAAGGCCUUCGGGUUGUAAAGCACUUUCAGCGAGGAGGAAGGUGGUGAGCUUAAUACGUUCAUCAAUUGACGUUACUCGCAGAAGAAGCACCGGCUAACUCCGUG